CUCCGGCGAGGGCGGCUUGGCGAGGGGCGGCACGCCGCAAGCCUCAACUUGCGGGAUGGUGCCCAGGGCGAUGCUGGGGUUGAACAGGCUGCCCCAGGUCUGCGGUAGGCUGGCCUGCCAGUUCCACGUGGCCACGGUGCUCCAGUCGCCGGUGUUGAGGCGCUGGAUGGAGGUGCCCUGAGGCGUGUUGUUGUUCUCAAUCACGCCGGCGCCAACGUUGGUGCAGCUGUGGCCGGCCGCGGGGCCGUUCGCGGCGAUGCUGUUGAAGCCCUGCGAGUUGGCGCCGUAGCAGAUGAAGUCCGCCACCGACCAGCGCACGCCGUCCGUGCACUUGGUCAGCAGCGCAAAGCCGUCCCAGCCGCCGUUGCUGUUCUGCAGGUUGCCCUGCAGGUCAAUCACCAGCGCCGUCCAGUCGAAGUUGGGCGUCUGCAGCCGCGUCUCGCUGAUGACGGUGAUCUGGGGUGACGUGAACGGGAACACGUUGCCGUGCAGGCUGCCGCUGGCGGUCUGCGGGUUGCCGUUGAACGUGUACUGCGCCAGCCACAGGUCUUGCCUCCAGUCGAAGCCGGCAGGCACAAUGAUCUCAAUCCACUCCCGCUUGUCGCUGUUGCCGCCCUGGGGGUUCUGGUCAUAGUGGAACUCGGAGAUGAACAGCGACGGGCAAUCGUCGCAUGGCGGGGGCGGCGCGGGGCUGGGCGGGGCAGGUGAAGGAGGCUCCGGGCUGGGCGGCGCGGGGCUGGGCGGCCGCGGGCUGGGAGGCGCAGGUGACGGAGGGGCAGGUGAAGGCGGCGCAGGGCUUGGUGGACGGGGACUGGGAGGUGCAGGCGAUGGAGGAGCUGGUGACGGCGGUGCAGGAGAUGGCGGGGCUGGAACGGGCGGCGCCGGCGAGGGAGGCGCAGGCGACGGCGGCGCAGGGCUGGGAGGCGCAGGCGACGGCGGUGCUGGGCUGGGCGGCUCCGGCGAGGGCGGCUUGGCGAGGGGCGGCACGCCGCAAGCCUCAACUUGCGGGAUGGUGCCCAGGGCGAUGCUGGGGUUGAACAGGCUGCCCCAGGUCUGCGGUAGGCUGGCCUGCCAGUUCCACGUGGCCACGGUGCUCCAGUCGCCGGUGUUGAGGCGCUGGAUGGAGGUGCCCUGAGGCGUGUUGUUGUUCUCAAUCACGCCGGCGCCAACGUUGGUGCAGCUGUGGCCGGCCGCGGGGCCGUUCGCGGCGAUGCUGUUGAAGCCCU
rnacentral:lncRNA from 1 species